AGGGCACCACCAGGAGUGGAGCCUGCAGCUUAAUUUGACUCAACACGGGAAAACUCACCCGGCCCGGACACCGUAAGGAUUGACAGAUUGAGAGCUCUUUCUUGAUUCGGUGGUUGGUGGUGCAUGGCCGUUCUUAGUUGGUGGAGCGAUUUGUCUGGUUUAUUCCGAUAACGAACGAGACUCUGGCCUACUAAAUAGAGACAGGAUUAUUACUGUCCUGGAUUCUUCUUAGAGGGACAAGUGGUUUUCAGCCACACGAAAUUGAGCAAUAACAGGUCUGUGAUGCCCUUAGAUGUCCGGGGCUGCACGCGCGCUACACUGAAGGAAUCAGCGUGCUAAAACCAUUGUCGAAAGGCAUUGGUAAACCCCUCAAAAUCCUACGUGAUUGGGAUCGGGAAUUGCAAUUAUUUCCCUUGAACGAGGAAUUCCCAGUAAGUGUGGGUCAUAAGCUCGCGUUGAUUACGUCCCUGCCCUUUGUACACACCGCCCGUCGCUGCCCGGGACUGAGCCGUUUCGAGA
rnacentral:rRNA from 1 species